UACGUAGGGUGCGAGCGUUGUCCGGAAUUAUUGGGCGUAAAGAGCUCGUAGGCGGUGUGUCGCGUCGGCCGUGAAAACCUGCAGCUUAACUGUGGGCUUGCGGUCGAUACGGGCAUCACUGGAGUUCGGCAGGGGAGACUGGAAUUCCUGGUGUAGCGGUGAAAUGCGCAGAUAUCAGGAGGAACACCGGUGGCGAAGGCGGCAUCCUGGACCAACACUGACGCUGAG
rnacentral:rRNA from 1 species